rnacentral:rRNA from 1 species
CCUACGGGGGGCAGCAGUGAGGAAUAUUGGUCAAUGGACUAGAGUCUGAACCAGCCAAGUAGCGUGAAGGAUGACUGCCCUAUGGGUUGUAAACUUCUUUUAUCUGGGAAUAAAAUGUUCCACGUGUGGGAUUUUGUAUGUACCAUAUGAAUAAGGAUCGGCUAACUCCGUGCCAGCAGCCGCGGUAAUACGGAGGAUCCGAGCGUUAUCCGGAUUUAUUGGGUUUAAAGGGUGCGUAGGUGGAUUGUUAAGUCAGUUGUGAAAGUUUGCGGCUCAAACGUAAAAUUGCAGUUGAAACUGGCAGUCUUGAGUACAGUAGAGGUGGGCGGAAUUCGUGGUGUAGCGGUGAAAUGCUUAGAUAUCACGAAGAACUCCGAUUGCGAAGGCAGUUCACUGGACUGCAACUGACACUGAGGCUCGAAAGUGUGGGUAUCAAACAGGAUUAGAUACCCUUGUAGUC